UACGUAGGGGGGCAAGCGUUGUCCGGAAUCAUUGGGCGUAAAGCGCGUGUAGGCGGCCUGGAAAGUCUGGUGUGAAAACUUGGGGCUUAACCCCAAGCUGUCACUGGAUACUGUCAGGCUUGAGUCCGGAAGAGGAGAGUGGAAUUCCUGGUGUAGCGGUGGAAUGCGCAGAUAUCAGGAGGAACACCUAUGGCGAAGGCAGCUCUCUGGUACGUGACUGACGCUGAGACGCGAAAGCGUGGGGAGCAAACAGG
rnacentral:rRNA from 1 species